UAAGCGAAAAAAAUAAAAGGUUAAAAUUAUUAAAGCGACGACAUGAUAUCAAGAGUAAAAACACCGACUUUACUAAUUGUGUUACAGUACUAAAAUUGCUAUAAAAAAUUAUUUAAUUAUAAUGAACCUAUAAGUUAAAAAAAAUGGAGGCAUAUAGUGAAAUGCAAAAAAAGAUAAAACACCUAUUUAUUAAAUUUUUUUUUUCACCAUAAUAAUUUUAAUCUAUAAAUGUUCUAAUGAUGAUGGACAUGUAAAAUUAUUUACACAGGUGAUGAAUAGCACACAGGCAGUUGAAAAAAACAUUUUAGAAAAAAUACUAGAUUCAAAAGAUAAUAGAAUAUUUACAGGAAUAUAUCAGGGUGUUUUACAAAGAUACAAUGAAGUAAUAACAUAUGGGAAUACUAUAAACAUAAAUAAAAAUCGUAUAUUUUCAGAAGUAUUUGAGGGAAUAUCGAUGUACAAUGACGACAAUCAUAUGACACACAAGUUUGAUUUCAAUGAACAUAAUAUAUAUCCGAAAAUAAAAGUCCAAACAACUAAAAAUAAUCAUCACGAAUAUGAGCGAAGUUAUGCAAAAAAAUAGCUGAAUGGCAAAAAAAUGAUAAUCCAAUGUUAUUCUCUACAGAUAAUUUGAGUUUUGCAAUUAAUAAUCAUCAAAAAGUAAAAAAUAGUCAACACAUAGCACCAUCAAUAGAUGAAUCUGACUUAGAUUAUUUAAACGAUAUUAUUAAAAACGUGAUAAAAAGUAGAAAUAACGAAAAUUACAUUAAAAUUAAAGAUGUUUGCAAUUUACAUAAUUAUGAUGAAGAUGAUUAUCUAAAGACAAAAAAGUCUUUUAUAAGACCUAAUACAAAAUUAAACUCAGAAACUACAAAUGACAACAUUGAAAUGUAUGAAAUAAAUGCACCAAUACUACGAUAUAAUAAAGAUGAAAGUGAAAUAGAGCACAUAAAUAUUAAAAAGCCUAUGAGAAAACAUUUUAUAAACAAUACUCAUGAUGCACAUGUAAAUCUAGAUGAUUUAAAUUUUUAUAAAAAUUUGACUAUAAAUAAAAAACAAGUUUUAACAUUGCUUAAUAGAAGGAAACGAAGAAAUUUAUUUAAAAGAGCUUGUCAUAAAGUUAAAAAGCAUAUAAGUGUUAAAUGGGCGGCUGAAUACUUAUUACGUGCAAUUUUACUCACAAUUGCUACUCCUUUUUUAUGUAUUUGUGCUAUAUAUAUGAUACUAAAGUUAACAUAUAUUGGUGCAAAAGAUCCUAUAGAAUAAAACUCCCUUCAAGAUUGCAGUUAAAGAAAACCGUAGGUAUAGCUUAUUUAUGUAUAAUUAUAUUAUUACUAUUAUAUUAUUACUAUUAUAUUAUUACUAUUAUAUUAUUACUAUUACUAUAAUUACUAUUAUUACUAUAAUUACUAUAAUUACAAUAAUAAUAAUUAUUAU